rnacentral:snRNA from 2 species
GUUCUCGCUUUGGCAGCACAUAUACUAAAAUUGGAAUGAUACAGGGAAGAUUAGCAUGGCCCCUGCACAAGGAUGAUACGCAAAUUCAUGAAGUGUUCCAUAUUUUU